rnacentral:rRNA from 1 species
GACGAACGCUGGCGGCGUGCUUAACACAUGCAAGUCGAACGAGUGGCGCACGGGUGAGUAAUACGUGAGUAACCUGCCCUCUUUUUGGGAUAAGCCUUGGAAACGGGGUCCAACACCGAAUAAAGGGGGAUGGGCACGCGGCCUAUCCGCUUGUUGGUGGGGGGCUGGCCUCCCAAGCCGGUGACGGGUAGCCGGCCUGAGAGGGUGCCCGGCCACAUGUGGACUGGGAUACGGCCCAGAGUCCUACGGGAGGAAGCAGUGGGGGAUAUUGCACAAUUGGCGGAAGCAUGAUGAAGCGACGCCGCGUAGGGGAUGGAGGCUUUCGGGUUGUAAUCCUCAGUCGCUAUCGAAAGGGUAGGUGGAGAAGAAGCGCCGGCUAACUACGUGCCAGCAGCCGCGGUAAUUC